UAAAGAAAAAGUGUGAGAUUUCAAGGAAUCAAGCAAUCAAAGGUGGUGAGCCCUCUAACAAGGGUAGAGAGAUUGUGUACAAAGACCGAGAAUAACAGUAUAUCGAACUCCUAGUACUGAUCAGAGUAGGUUGUAGAUAUUUGGUUCCAUCGGGGAUUUCCAUUGGAUUGCGUCUUCCAAACUGUAGGUUCACAACUUCUUUAAUUCUAGUUAUUAUGGGCCCACUUGAUAUUGUAAAUUUAAUAGUUUAUUGUACUACAAUAUGAAUGAAUUUAUUUUGUUUUUAUGUUACAAAAAGUAUUCACGCAUAAUUCCAAAAUUUCUGUUUAUAAGAGAAUAAAAUAGUUUAUUGAAUAUUUUGUUUUA